CANGGCUCAGAACGAACGCUGGCGGCGUGGAUAAGACAUGCAAGUCGUGCGACAGACCAGGAAUUGAUUACUUCGGUUUGAUUUUCCUGACGAUGAGCGGCGAACGGGUGCGUAACACGUGAGAAAUCUGCCCUUAAGUUCGGGAUAGCCCUACGAAAGUAGAAUUAAUACCGGAUGUGGCCCAGGGAGGGCAUCUUCCCCUGGCUAAAGCUCGGUCACAGAGCGCUUUUGGAUGAUCUCGCGGUCUAUCAGCUUGUUGGUGAGGUAACGGCUCACCAAGGCUCUGACGGAUAGCUGGUCUGAGAGGAUGAUCAGUCACACUGGAACUGAGACACGGUCCAGACACCUACGGGUGGCAGCAGUCGAGAAUCAUUCACAAUGGGCGCAAGCCUGAUGGUGCGACGCCGCGUGGGGGAUGAAGGGCUUCGGUUCGUAAACCCCUGUCAUCUGUGAGUAAGGCUCCCAAUAAAAGCUUGGGAGAUUGAUAUCAGCAGAAGAGGAAGGGACGGCUAACUCAGUGCCAGCAGCCGCGGUAAUACUGAGGUCCCAAGCGUUGUUCGGAUUUACUGGGCGUAAAGGGUGCGUAGGCGGCUAUAAAAGUUUGGUGUGAAAUCUCCGGGCUCAACCCGGAAACUGCAUUGAAAACUAGAUAGCUAGAGGAUCGGAGAGGAGAUUGGAAUUCUCAGUGUAGCAGUGAAAUGCGUAGAUAUUGAGAGGAACACCAGUUGCGAAGGCGGAUCUCUGGACGGUUUCUGACGCUGAGGCACGAAAGCUGGGGUAGCGAAGAGGAUUAGAUACCCUCGUAGUCCCAGCCGUAAACGGUGCGCACUUGCUGUGGGCGGAUUCGACCCCGUCUGUGGCGAAGCUAACGCGAUAAGUGCGCCGCCUGGGGAGUACGGUCGCAAGAUUAAAACUCAA
rnacentral:rRNA from 1 species